AACGGGUGAGUAACACGUGAGUAACCUGCCCCUGACUCUGGGAUAAGCGUUGGAAACGACGUCUAAUACUGGAUAUGAUCACUGGCCGCAUGGUCUGGUGGUGGAAAGAUUUUUUGGUUGGGGAUGGACUCGCGGCCUAUCAGCUUGUUGGUGAGGUAAUGGCUCACCAAGGCGACGACGGGUAGCCGGCCUGAGAGGGUGACCGGCCACACUGGGACUGAGACACGGCCCAGACUCCUACGGGAGGCAGCAGUGGGGAAUAUUGCACAAUGGGCGAAAGCCUGAUGCAGCAACGCCGCGUGAGGGAUGACGGCCUUCGGGUUGUAAACCUCUUUUAGUAGGGAAGAAGCGAAAGUGACGGUACCUGCAGAAAAAGCACCGGCUAACUACGUGCCAGCAGCCGCGGUAAUACGUAGGGUGCAAGCGUUGUCCGGAAUUAUUGGGCGUAAAGAGCUCGUAGGCGGUUUGUCGCGUCUGCUGUGAAAUCCCGAGGCUCAACCUCGGGCUUGCAGUGGGUACGGGCAGACUAGAGUGCGGUAGGGGAGAUUGGAAUUCCUGGUGUAGCGGUGGAAUGCGCAGAUAUCAGGAGGAACACCGAUGGCGAAGGCAGAUCUCUGGGCCGUAACUGACGCUGAGGAGCGAAAGCGUGGGGAGCGAACAGGAUUAGAUACCCUGGUAGUCCACGCCGUAAACGUUGGGCGCUAGAUGUAGGGACCUUUCCACGGUUUCUGUGUCGUAGCUAACGCAUUAAGCGCCCCGCCUGGGGAGUACGGCCGCAAGGCUAAAACUCAAAGGAAUUGACGGGGGCCCGCACAAGCGGCGGAGCAUGCGGAUUAAUUCGAUGCAACGCGAAGAACCUUACCAAGGCUUGACAUACACCGGAAACGGCCAGAGAUGGUCGCCCCCUUGUGGUCGGUGUACAGGUGGUGCAUGGUUGUCGUCAGCUCGUGUCGUGAGAUGUUGGGUUAAGUCCCGCAACGAGCGCAACCCUCGUUCUAUGUUGCCAGCGCGUUAUGGCGGGGACUCAUAGGAGACUGCCGGGGUCAACUCGGAGGAAGGUGGGGAUGACGUCAAAUCAUCAUGCCCCUUAUGUCUUGGGCUUCACGCAUGCUACAAUGGCCGGUACAAAGGGCUGCGAUACCGUAAGGUGGAGCGAAUCCCAAAAAGCCGGUCUCAGUUCGGAUUGAGGUCUGCAACUCGACCUCAUGAAGUCGGAGUCGCUAGUAAUCGCAGAUCAGCAACGCUGCGGUGAAUACGUUCCCGGGCCUUGUACACACCGCC
rnacentral:rRNA from 1 species